rnacentral:rRNA from 1 species
AAUAAGCGGAGGAAAAGAAACUAACAAGGAUUCCCCUAGUAACGGCGAGUGAAGUGGGAAAAGCUCAACUUUGAAAUCUGGUACUUUCAGUAUCCGAAUUGUAGUCUCAAGAAGUGUUUUCUGUGCCGGUCCAUGUAUGAGUCUGUUGGAACACAGCGUCAUAGAGGGUGACAACCCCGUUCAUGACAUGGAUCCCGGUGCUUUGUGAUACACUCUCGAAGAGUCGAGUUGUUUGGGAAUGCAGCUCAAAUUGGGUGGUAAAUUCCAUCUAAAGCUAAAUAUUGGCGAGAGACCGAUAGCAAACAAGUACCGUGAGGGAAAGAUGAAAAGCACUUUGGAAAGAGAGUUAACAGUACGUGAAAUUGUUGAAAGGGAAACGAUUGAAGUCAGACGUGCGUGAUGCGGUUCAGCUUUAGUUCGCUAGAGUGUACUCCGUAUCUUUGCAGGCCAACAUCGGUUUUGUUAGUCGGAUAAAGGUUUGAGAAAUGUGGCACCUUCGGGUGUGUUAUAGUCUCAGACUGAAUACGAUUGAUGGGACCGAGGAACGCAGCGCGCCGCAAGGCAAAGGUU